rnacentral:rRNA from 1 species
GUUUGACCUCGGAUCAGGUAGGGAUACCCGCUGAACUUAACAUAU